rnacentral:rRNA from 1 species
UACGUAGGAGGCGAGCGUUGUCCGGAAUCACUGGGCGUAAAGGGCGCGUAGGUGGCGGGAUAAGCGUGUGGUGAAAGCCCGGGGCUCAACCCCGUGUCUGCCAUGCGGACUGUCUUGCUCGAGCGUAGUAGAGGCAGGUGGAAUUCCGGGUGUAGCGGUGGAAUGCGUAGAGAUCCGGAAGAACACCGGUGGCGAAGGCGGCCUGCUGGGCUACUGCUGACACUGAGGCGCGACAGCGUGGGGAGCAAACAGG